rnacentral:rRNA from 1 species
GACGAACGCUGGCGGCGUGCUUAACACAUGCAAGUCGAACGGAAAGGCCCUGCUUUUGUGGGGUGCUCGAGUGGCGAACGGGUGAGUAACACGUGAGUAACCUGCCCUUGACUUUGGGAUAACUUCAGGAAACUGGGGCUAAUACCGGAUAGGAGCUCCUGCUGCAUGGUGGGGGUUGGAAAGUUUCGGCGGUUGGGGAUGGACUCGCGGCUUAUCAGCUUGUUGGUGGGGUAGUGGCUUACCAAGGCUUUGACGGGUAGCCGGCCUGAGAGGGUGACCGGCCACAUUGGGACUGAGAUACGGCCCAGACUCCUACGGGAGGCAGCAGUGGGGAAUAUUGCACAAUGGGCGGAAGCCUGAUGCAGCAACGCCGCGUGCGCGAUGACGGCCUUCGGGUUGUAAACCGCUUUCGCCUGUGACGAAGCGUGAGUGACGGUAAUGGGUAAAGAAGCACCGGCUAACUACGUG